CCUACGGGAGGCAGCAGUGAGGAAUAUUGGUCAAUGGGAGAGAUCCUGAACCAGCCAAGCCGCGUGAGGGAAGACGGCCCUAUGGGUUGUAAACCUCUUUUGUCGGAGAACAAAACCCGGGACGUGUCCCGGACUGCGUGUAUCCGAAGAAAAAGCAUCGGCUAACUCCGUGCCAGCAGCCGCGGUAAUACGGAGGAUGCGAGCGUCAUCCGGAUUUCUUGGGUUAAAAGGGUGCGUAGGCGGUCCGUUAAGUCAGCGGUAAAAUCGCGCGGCUCAACCGCGCCCCGCAGUUGAAACUGGCAGCCUUGAGUUCACAACAGGCAAGCGGAAUUCGAGGUGUAGCGGUGAAAUGCAUAGAUAUCACGAGGAACCCCGAUUGCGAAGGCAGCCUGCCGGGGUGCGACUGACGCUGAGGCUCGAAGGUGCGGGUAUCAAACAGGAUUAGAUACCCUAGUAGUC
rnacentral:rRNA from 1 species